CCAUGACUCAGGUCCAACAUGGCAGAGAGCUCCCUGAUGCUCAUUUCAGGGGCCUCCUCUGCUUUCUCUUGAAUAUUCGUAUUUUAGACACCCUGGAGUCACUUUGGCUCCUCCCUCCAAACAGUGAUCCCAGCUGUCAUCUCUUUCUCAGGUCACAGUCAAGAGUCCCAGCCCUUCCUUCUAUCAUCAUCACUGCUGUCCUUGUUCUCGCCUCGCCAUCUCUUUCCUGGGUGACAGAGAUCUUUCCUCCCUUCAGCCCUCCCCCACAUUCCAAGUGCUGGAAGAGUGAUUUUCCCUAAACACAAGACCCUCCCCCUACCGCCACUAAAAACCCUCAGUUGUAACCCACUUGCUGCAGAAUUAAGUUCAAGUCCCUCAGAACAGUUUCUUUCUUCUGUUUUGGUCACCUACUACUUUCGCACUCCCAAGUCCUCGCGGCUUACACCAGCCUUUCUCAAGUUCUUACCUUGCCUUUGCUCUUCCCUGUCCUUUUCCAGUCUGGAAAUCCUUAAAACCACCCACCCACCCCCAAGAAGUCUUCUCAGGUGUUUCAAAUUCUAAGGAACCCCUCCUCCUGCCCUCCUGAGGACGCUGCUCCUGCUCCUGUGCUGGGAACCGCCCCAUCUUGCCAUGCACUGAAAGCACAGUCAGCCAGAAUCGUGUGCGCUGAGCACAUGCCCAGUUUCUGGACCCUCAUCACAUGGAGCCAACAGGGCAGAGGAGUGCUCCCCACUGAGUCCAGACGUGGCCACGAAAUCGUCUCAGAGGGAAGCCCACAGCAACGGGGCAGGUGUAGAAACUGAUAACAGGUUGUUACAGCUGGAAGAGACAAAUGGCUAAAGUUUUGCAGUGCAGACUGUGUCUUGAGAUUGGCUCUUGAAGGACAUUCCGGAUAAGAUUAAUCAAGACUUCCAUGACUAGAACUCGGCACUUGAGUUUCCUAAAUCCUAAAAACUCCCUAUUAACCUCAGAAACCAAAGUUUGGGAGACUGAACGUGGAGACUAUGAAGUUGCAGACAGUGAUAUAAAGAGAAGGGCAGCACUGCUUCCACACAGAGUGGUCUUGGAAACUCAUCAUCUCCUCUUCAGAGACAGCAUAGAAAGAAGACAAUUAUACUCAAGAGGGGCUACCCAAUCAGCCCUUCCCAAGUUAAAUCCUGGGGUGGAGGGUAGCAUGAGCAACAGGCUUGAAUACUGGAGGAUGGAGAGGCUUCUAUGCCAUCCCCACCUGAAAGUGUGGGGUGAGGCAGUCCAGAGAGAACCCGAGACCACCCACACGUCCAGAAACCAUCGUAGAGGGCAUGGCAGAGAUCAGUUAUCUCCCAUGUUCCCCAGCGAGAACGGACUGGCAAGCUCUCAGAGGACUCACUACAGCUGAGAUGAAACGAUCUUGUGACAGGGACUUCCCUGGCAGUCCACUGGUUAAGACCCCACACUUCCCCUGCAGAGCAUGAGGGUCUGAGCCCAUGUUACAGAGCCAGAAAAAAUAAAAAGAAAAUUUCUUGAACUGAAUAAAAAUGAAAAUGCAACAUAGCAACUUAUAAAAGGGAGACCUUAUGGCAGAGGACCUCAGGGUUGACAGACCUAUCUAAGGGGUCAAGUAGUAGAUCCAGCCACAGGGAACCCGCAAGGCCAGCGAGAUCUCAGUCGGAGUGCCAAGGAGCAUGGGGACGUGUCAGAGCUCAUGACAUACUGUGAGUGUGCAGAGAGUGACUAUGAAGCUUCACCACCAGUCAGGGCAACAUGGAUAGCCACCUUGCUCCCCUACCAAAGAGUAAAGUAGAUGAGCGAUAGUCUGGGAGACAGCACACAGCCCCCUGCAUCCAGACACAAUCUCAGGAUCAAGCAGGAGAUGAAUAACCAGGAUAGUUUCACCACAGAGAGGAACCAUGAUGGGAAGCUGCGAUGUGAACUGACUGAGCUUCAGUUCUGAAUUUAGUAAUUUCCUAAAAAAGACUUUCAAUCAGAAGAUACUGAGUGUCUUUGAAGUGGUAAAGAGCUAAGUUGAUUUCAAGGAUGGAUGUACACUUCUUGUACAUCUGAUUUGUGACUGUAUUUGAAGUGUAAAACCUACUGCAUGAAGAUGAAUGAGAUAAAAUCUCUGCCUCAAGAACCUUAUAAUCUCGAGGUAUGUUAUAAAAGGAGGCAUUGAAGCUGGGAUUUUUCUGCCCUACAAUUCUGCCAAUGAUUGAUCCUGAAAUUUUAUGAAUAAAUACAUUUCAUGCUCAUACAUUGGGCCUGUGGGGGUUAAAGUGAGAAUCAAUCAACAAAGCCUAGGGACAGAAGAGCUACUGCUCAACUGCAGAAAUACAAUGCCAACUGAGAAAAAACGAUGGUAAAGAAAGGACAAUGUAAGUGAUCAAUAGGUUGAGGAAAAUGCUUUAUGAAUAGAAACAGUAAUAUGAUAAACUAGUCAAGAAAUGCAAAGAAGGAACAGAAAUAAAGUCUAUCAGAUUAAAAAAAAUAUUAAAACCAUCACAAACCAUUAUUCAAUCUUACUCCAACAAAAUUUAGAAAUGAUAGCUCCAAGAAUGGUCUGGUUCACAGUGGCGAUUUUCUGGACUCCAUAAACCCCACACGCUAUCAGAAGUGACACAAUCCCAGGUACUUUGUGUUUUAUGUGUUAGGGAGGUGGUCAAGGUUCAUNNNNNNNNNNNNNNNNNNNNNNNNNNNNNNNNNNNNNNNNNNNNNNNNNNNNNNNNNNNNNNNNNNNNNNNNNNNNNNNNNNNNNNNNNNNNNNNNNNNGGAGGUGGUCAAGGUUCAUAUGGUAUGUUUACUUGUGUUCCCCAGGAAAUGCCCCAGCGAUGGAGGAUCUGUUUUCAGAACAGACAAGAAGGGAUUUUCUUCCAAAACACCUUACAGUUAGACACUGAGAAAACCCAGAUGCGAUGCAGAAGAAUGCUCAUUCCCCAGGGAAAUUCCGGCGCAGAGGCACUGCCCAUGUGGAAGACCUCGGAAAAGGCUCAAAGAGCUGCAGCCUUACACACACUCCUAGGGCAGACAAGUCAGGUCUCACAAUUCAGGGUAGGGUUUGGGCAAAAAGGCACAAGCAAUGGCCUUGCUUUGUACCCAGGACUUUGAAGCAAGCAGCGGACAUCUUAAAAACAGAACAGAUUUUGAAUUGCGGCAACAAUUUGGGGCAGCCAACAGAAGAUGCGGCUGGAGCCAGCAAAGCUAUUCAUUCACGAGAGAUAAAGCACUGUCAUCAAUUUCUUAGCAAAGAAGAAACAGACAUCUGUAUAAAAACACAUUCUGCCUCCUUCAGAGUUACUUUUGCAUGUUCUAAAUUGUAAGAGGUCUUAUUACAGAGCAUGCAUGGGUUUAGUCAUUCUCAACAAAUGCUUUUGAUGUUGCCAUAAAAAUCUAAGUUAAAUAUGCCCCUCUACACAGAGUCUGACUGGUUAUUAAAGGCGAGAUUCUGGUAAAGAGAGGCAGAGACUUUUACUUUUUGAUGAGUAUGCUAAAUGGGCUGUCCUUAUUUAUGCUGCUACAGCUCCUAUUCCCUAUCAUCUUUCCAGGCUGUACAGUCUCGAGGUUUUGAAUCUCCUGUGUCUCUUGGCUGGGGGAAGUGAUUUCCUCCACACGCUCCUUUCUAAGUCAGCAUAUGAAGUCCACAUUCUUGUGUCAGUGGUGUGCUGGAGCCAAUUUGUAUCAACU
ensembl:lncRNA